CAAGUCGAGGGGGCUGUUGGGCUUCGGCCUGGCAGUCACCGGCGAACGGGUGCGGAACACGUGAGCGACCCGCCCUGCGAGGGGGGGAUAGCCGGCCCAACGGCCGGGUAAGCCCGCAUACGCUCUUCUGGUGGCCUCACUGGGAGAGGAAAGCUUCGGGGCAACCCGAGGCGCUCGAGGAGGGGCUCGCGGCCUAUCAGCUCGUUGGCGGGGUAACGGCCCACCAAGGCGACGACGGGUAGCUGGUCUGAGAGGAUGGCCAGCCACAUUGGGACUGAGAGACGGCCCAGACUCCUACGGGAGGCAGCAGUGGGGAAUCUUGCGCAAUGGCCGAGAGGCUGACGCAGCGACGCCGCGUGCGGGAGGACGCCCUUCGGGGUGUAAACCGCUGUCGCCCGGGACGAAUCCGCUCUUGAGGGGGCGUUGACGGUACCGGGGGAGGAAGCACCGGCUAACUCCGUGCCAGCAGCCGCGGUAAUACGGAGGGUGCGAGCGUUGUCCGGAAUCACUGGGCGUAAAGGGCGCGUAGGCGGCUCAAGCAGCGUGUGGUGAAAGCUCGGGGCUCAACCCCGAGUCGGCCGUGCGAACUCUUGGGCUGGAGUGCUGUAGAGGCGGGCGGAAUUCCGGGUGUAGCGGUGGAAUGCGUAGAGAUCCGGAAGAACACCGGUGGCGAAGGCGGCCCGCUGGGCAGUGACUGACGCUGAGGCGCGACAGCGUGGGGAGCAAACAGGAUUAGAUACCCUGGUAGUCCACGCCGUAAACGAUGGGCACUAGGUGCUCGGGGGAGCGACCUCCGGGUGCCGGCGCUAACGCAUUAAGUGCCCCGCCUGGGGAGUACGGCCGCAAGGCUGAAACUCAAAGGAAUUGACGGGGGCCCGCACAAGCGGUGAA
rnacentral:rRNA from 1 species